rnacentral:rRNA from 1 species
UUUAAUUGAAAGAUCAUUGGGGUUGUUGUAUUUUUGUGAUUUAAUUUUUUUGACGAUAGUUUAUUUGUACUGUGAAGGGUCGGUAUUUAGUGUAAUUAUUUUUUGAAAGUUGAUUUUGUUUGUUGUACCUUGUGUAUCAGGGUUUAUUGAAUUUUAUUAUUUAUUUUUAUUUCCCGAUUUUAAAGGAGUUAAUGAUUUAUGUUAGUUACUGUUUCAUUAGUAUUAAUAAUAAUUUGUUGGUAAUGAGAUGUUAUUCGUCUUUAGUGGUUUCUGGUUUUUCAAGAAAUGAAUUUAAUUCAUACAUCUUAUUUAAUUUCUGUUGUUUUCUAUUUAUUUUUAUUUGAUGUUAAGAUUGAGGGGGAUUAGCUCCUUAUUUCAUUUUUAUAAUUUUUUUGUUGAUUUAGUUUUGUGGAUUUUAUGGUGAUUUUCAAUUUGAUUAUGUUAAAAUUUUAUUUGUUCUUUUUUUAAUUUUGUUUUAUUUAAUUUUUUAUUGAAAUGUUUGCUUUGUUUUGUGUUUGUAUAAUAAUUAUUGUGAAAUUAGUAAAUUUGUUUAUUUACAUUAUUUAUUGGAUGUUAAUUUCUUUUAAGGAAUUCGGCAAAGUUAUUAUGUCCGCCUGUUUAACAAAAACAUCUUUUCUUGUUAGUUUUUGAAGUAUGGCCUGCCCACUGACUUUGAGUUGAAGGGCCGCGGUAUUUUGACCGUGCAAAGGUAGCAUAAUCAUUAGUUCUUUAAUUGUGAUCUGGUAUGAAUGGCUUGACGAGACAUAAGCUGUCUUGGGGGUAUUGUUUGUUGAAAUUAGUUUUUGAGUUAAAAUUCUUAGAUGUUUUUAUGGGACGAGAAGACCCUAUAGAGUUUAACAUUUGUCUUGCUUUGUUUAUUAUGUUUGUUGUUUUUUGUAAGUUGGAUUGGUGUUUUGUUGGGGUGAUGGGAGGAAUAUUUUUAACUCCUCUUUUCUUUUAUAUAUUUAUUUAUAUUUUGUUUGAUCCACUUAUUUUGAUUACAAGAUUAAAUUACCUUAGGGAUAACAGCGUUAUCUUCCUUGAGAGUUCUUAUUGGCGGGGAGGUUUGCGACCUCGAUGUUGGAUUAAGGUGCAUUUUCGGUGCAGGAGCUGAAGUUGAUUAGGUCUGUUCGACCUUUAAAACCUUACAUGAUCUGAGUUCAGACCGGCGUGAGCCAGGUUGGUUUCUAUCUAUAAUUAGUAUUUAUAUCUUAGUACGAGAGGACCGGAUAUUUGGAAUAAUUUUAUUUAUUGUGAUUUUCAUUAAUAUUGUUGCUAUUUUGGCAGAUAAGUGCAUUGGAUUUAGAAUCUAUUAAUGUAAAGUUUU